GAUGAACGCUGGCGGCGUGCCUAAUACAUGCAAGUCGAGCGAACAGACGAGGAGCUUGCUCCUCUGACGUUAGCGGCGGACGGUGAGUAACACGUGGAUAACCUACCUAUAAGACUGGGAUAACUUCGGGAAACCGGAGCUAAUACCGGAUAAUAUAUUGAACCGCAUGGUUCAAUAGUGAAAGACGGUUUUGCUGUCACUUAUAGAUGGAUCCGCGCCGCAUUAGCUAGUUGGUAAGGUAACGGCUUACCAAGGCAACGAUGCGUAGCCGACCUGAGAGGGUGAUCGGCCACACUGGAACUGAGACACGGUCCAGACUCCUACGGGAGGCAGCAGUAGGGAAUCUUCCGCAAUGGGCGAAAGCCUGACGGAGCAACGCCGCGUGAGUGAUGAAGGUCUUCGGAUCGUAAAACUCUGUUAUUAGGGAAGAACAAAUGUGUAAGUAACUAUGCACGUCUUGACGGUACCUAAUCAGAAAGCCACGGCUAACUACGUG
rnacentral:rRNA from 1 species